rnacentral:tRNA from 1 species
AUUUAAAUAGCUUAUAUUUAGAGUACAACACUGAAGAUGUUGGGGAGAUUAUUUAAUCUUUAAAUAU